rnacentral:rRNA from 1 species
GAAAGUAAACAAGGGCGCAUGGAGGAUGCCUAGGCUCUCGGAGGCGAAGAAGGACGUGAUAAGCUGCGAAAAGUUACGGUAAGGCGCAAAUAGCCGUAGACCCGUAAAUAUCCGAAUGGGGCAACCCGGCCAGCAAUGGCCAUACCGCCAAGCGGUAAGCCAACGCGGGGAACUGAAACAUCUAAGUACCCGCAGGAAAAGAAAAUAACAAUGAUUCCGCCAGUAGUGGCGAGCGAACGCGGAACAGCCCAAACCACUCGUGUUACGGCACGAGUGGGGUAGAAGGAUCCACGAUACGGCAAGAAAUAAGUUAGCAGAAUACGAUGGAAAUCGUAGCCAAAGACGGUGACAGCCCGGUACGCGAAAACCGACAGAAGCCCAGUGGACACCUGAGUAACCCAGGACACGAGAAAUCCGGGGCGAAUCAGCGGGGCCCAUCCCGUAAGGCUAAAUACUCCCGAGAGACCGAUAGCGAACCAGUACUGUGAAGGAAAGGUGAAAAGCACCUCGAACAGAGGAGUGAAAUAGUCCCUGAAACCGUCUGCCUACAAGCGGUCGGAGCACAUUAAAGUGUGACGGCGUGCCUUUUGCAUAAUGAACCUACGAGUUACUUUCUCCGGCAAGGUUAAGGGCUUCAGGCCCGGAGCCGAAGCGAAAGCGAGUCUUAAUAGGGCGUGAUAGUCGGAGUGAGUAGACGCGAAACCAAGUGAUCUACCCUUGGUCAGGAUGAAGGUUGGGUAACACCAACUGGAGGUCCGAAUGGGUAUACGUUGAAAAGUGUUCCAAUGAACUGAGGGUAGGGGUGAAAGGCUAAUCAAACUUGGAGAUAGCUCGUACUCCCCGAAAUGCAUUUAGGUGCAGCCUUUAUUUAGUAUAGCAUGAGGUAGAGCGACUGAUUGGAUGCGAGGGCUUCACCGCCUAUCAAGUCCAGAUAAACUCCGAAUGCGUGCUAUAUAUUGAUAAGGAGUGAGGGCGCGGGUGCUAAGGUCCGCGUCCGAGAGGAGAAGAAUCCAGACCAUCAGCUAAGGUCCCCAAAUAACAGUUAAGUUGAACUAACGAAGUCGGACUGCAGAGACAGCUAGGAUGUUGGCUUGGAAGCAGCCAUUCAUUUAAAGAGUGCGUAACAGCUCACUAGUCGAGGAGUCCGGCGUGGAUAAUACUCGGGCAUAAACUGUUUACCGAAGCUAUGGAUGUAGAAAUACAUGGUAGGGGAGCAUUCCAACGGCGUCGAAGGUGAAGGAUGACCUUUGCUGGAGCUUUUGGAAACGCAAAUGUAGGUAUAAGUAACGAUAAAGGAGGUGAGAAACCUCCUCGCCGAAAGACUAAGGUUUCCUGAUCAACGUUAAUCGGAUCAGGGUAAGUCGGGACCUAAGGUUAAGCCGAACGGCGAUACCGAUGGAAGAAUGGUUUAAUAUUCCCAUACUACUUUAUGGAGCGAUGUGGAGACGGAGAAGUGAAAGUCCUGCCAUCUGACGGAAUAGGUGGUUGAAGAGUGUAGAUGUAGAUUCCUGUAGGCAAAUCCGCAGGGAGAGUCGACCUUGACAGUAUGCCGCGUGCUUGCACAAGGCAAAAUGGACGUAAUCAGGCUCCCAAGAAAAUCCGCUAAGCAUAUUCAUAAAGUACCCGUACCGUAAACGGACACACGUAGUUGGGUUGAAAAUACUGAGGCGCUCGAGUGAUUCACGGUUAAGGAACUAGGCAAAUUGACCCUGUAACUUCGGGAUAAAGGGUCCCUACUGAGAGGUAGGGCGCAGAGAAUAGGUCCAGGCAACUGUUUAACAAAAACACAUGGCUGUGCGAAAUAGAAAUAUGAAGUAUACAGCCUGACACCUGCCCGGUGCUGGAAGGUUAAGAGGAGAGCUCAUCGCAAGAGAAGGCUUGAAUUGAAGCCCCAGUAAACGGCGGCCGUAACUAUAACGGUCCUAAGGUAGCGAAAUUCCUUGUCGGGUAAGUUC